AACGGAAGUACGGUUACAAUCGGAAGUAAAGAUUUAUCGGACUGAAGAAUGUAACAAUAGGCUUUAGUGGCGGACUGGUGAGUAACACAUGAGCAACCUACCUAUUAGAGGGGAAUAACAAUGAGAAAUCAUUGCUAAUACCGCAUAUGCCGUGAAUAUCGCAUGGAUAAAAACGGGAAAGGAGAAAUCCGCUAAUAGAUGGGCUUGUGUCUGAUUAGCUAGUUGGUGGGGUAACGGCUUACCAAGGCAACGAUCAGUAGCCGAACUGAGAGGUUGAACGGCCACAUUGGGACUGAGAUACGGCCCAGACUCCUACGGGAGGCAGCAGUCGGGAAUAUUGCGCAAUGGAGGAAACUCUGACGCAGUGACGCCGCGUAUAGGAAGAAGGUUUUCGGAUUGUAAACUAUUGUCAUUAGGGAAGAAAAAGGACAGUACCUAAGGAGGAAGCUCCGGCUAACUAUGUGCCAGCAGCGGC
rnacentral:rRNA from 1 species